GUAGGGCGCAAGCGUAAUCCGGAAUUAUUGGGCGUAAAGAGCUCGUAGGCGGUUUGUCGCGUCUGCUGUGAAAUCCCGAGGCUCAACUUCGGGUCUGCAGUGGGUACGGGCAGACUAGAGUGCGGUAGGGGAGAUUGGAAUUCCUGGUGUAGCGGUGGAAUGCGCAGAUAUCAGGAGGAACACCGAUGGCGAAGGCAGAUCUCUGGGCCGUAACUGACGCUGAGGAGCGAAAGGGUGGGGAGCAAACAGGCUUAGAUACCCUGGUAGUCCACCCCGUAAACGUUGGGAACUAGUUGUGGGGUCCAUUCCACGGAUUCCGUGACGCAGCUAACGCAUUAAGUUCCCCGCCUGGGGAGUACGGCCGCAAGGCUA
rnacentral:rRNA from 1 species